rnacentral:rRNA from 1 species
UAAGGCCGAAUUUGGGCCGAUUUUGGGAGGUAAACAAGGGUGGGCCCGGUUAGUAAUUGGAUGGGAGACCCACAAGGAAUACCAGGGGCUGUUAAGCU